GGUUAAGCGACUAAGCGUACACGGUGGAUGCCCUGGCAGUCAGAGGCGAUGAAGGACGUGCUAAUCUGCGAUAAGCGUCGGUAAGGUGAUAUGAACCGUUAUAACCGGCGAUUUCCGAAUGGGGAAACCCAGUGUGUUUCGACACACUAUCAUUAACUGAAUCCAUAGGUUAAUGAGGCGAACCGGGGGAACUGAAACAUCUAAGUACCCCGAGGAAAAGAAAUCAACCGAGAUUCCCCCAGUAGCGGCGAGCGAACGGGGAGCAGCCCAGAGCCUGAAUCAGUGUGUGUGUUAGUGGAAGCGUCUGGAAAGGCGCGCGAUACAGGGUGACAGCCCCGUACACAAAAAUGCACAUGCUGUGAGCUCGAUGAGUAGGGCGGGACACGUGGUAUCCUGUCUGAAUAUGGGGGGACCAUCCUCCAAGGCUAAAUACUCCUGACUGACCGAUAGUGAACCAGUACCGUGAGGGAAAGGCGAAAAGAACCCCGGCGAGGGGAGUGAAAAAGAACCUGAAACCGUGUACGUACAAGCAGUGGGAGCCUCUUUAUGGGGUGACUGCGUACCUUUUGUAUAAUGGGUCAGCGACUUAUAUUCUGUAGCAAGGUUAACCGAAUAGGGGAGCCGAAGGGAAACCGAGUCUUAACUGGGCGUUAAGUUGCAGGGUAUAGACCCGAAACCCGGUGAUCUAGCCAUGGGCAGGUUGAAGGUUGGGUAACACUAACUGGAGGACCGAACCGACUAAUGUUGAAAAAUUAGCGGAUGACUUGUGGCUGGGGGUGAAAGGCCAAUCAAACCGGGAGAUAGCUGGUUCUCCCCGAAAGCUAUUUAGGUAGCGCCUCGUGAAUUCAUCUCCGGGGGUAGAGCACUGUUUCGGCAAGGGGGUCAUCCCGACUUACCAACCCGAUGCAAACUGCGAAUACCGGAGAAUGUUAUCACGGGAGACACACGGCGGGUGCUAACGUCCGUCGUGAAGAGGGAAACAACCCAGACCGCCAGCUAAGGUCCCAAAGUCAUGGUUAAGUGGGAAACGAUGUGGGAAGGCCCAGACAGCCAGGAUGUUGGCUUAGAAGCAGCCAUCAUUUAAAGAAAGCGUAAUAGCUCACUGGUCGAGUCGGCCUGCGCGGAAGAUGUAACGGGGCUAAACCAUGCACCGAAGCUGCGGCAGCGACGCUUAUGCGUUGUUGGGUAGGGGAGCGUUCUGUAAGCCUGUGAAGGUGUGCUGUGAGGCAUGCUGGAGGUAUCAGAAGUGCGAAUGCUGACAUAAGUAACGAUAAAGCGGGUGAAAAGCCCGCUCGCCGGAAGACCAAGGGUUCCUGUCCAACGUUAAUCGGGGCAGGGUGAGUCGACCCCUAAGGCGAGGCCGAAAGGCGUAGUCGAUGGGAAACAGGUUAAUAUUCCUGUACUUGGUGUUACUGCGAAGGGGGGACGGAGAAGGCUAUGUUGGCCGGGCGACGGUUGUCCCGGUUUAAGCGUGUAGGCUGAUUUUCCAGGCAAAUCCGGAAAAUCAAGGCUGA
rnacentral:rRNA from 1 species